CACCGCGGUCAUACAAGAAACCCAAGCUAACAGCACACGGCGUAAAGAGCGGGUUCUUACCUAUCUAAAUAAUUAGGAUUAAAUCGCAACUAAGCUGUCAUACGCCCAAGAUGCGUCUAAAUCUACCCUUAAAAUGAUCCUAACCCUCCCGAUCAACUAACCCCCGCGAAAGCCAGGGCU
rnacentral:rRNA from 1 species